UGGCGGCGUGCUUAMACAUGCAAGUCGAACGAUGAACCACUUCGGYGGGGAUUAGUGGCGAACGGGUGAGUAACACGUGGGCAAUCUGCCCUUCACUCUGGGACAAGCCCUGGAAACGGGGUCUAAUACCGGAUACUGACCCUYGCAGGCAUCUGCGAGGUUCGAAAGCUCCGGCGGUGAAGGAUGAGCCCGCGGCCUAUCAGCUUGUUGGUGAGGUAAUGGCUCACCAAGGCGACGACGGGUAGCCGGCCUGAGAGGGCGACCGGCCACACUGGGACUGAGACACGGCCCAGACUCCUACGGGAGGCAGCAGUGGGGAAUAUUGCACAAUGGGCGAAAGCCUGAUGCAGCGACGCCGCGUGAGGGAUGACGGCCUUCGGGUUGUAAACCUCUUUCAGCAGGGAAGAAGCGAAAGUGACGGUACCUGCAGAAGAAGCGCCGGCUAWCUACKUGC
rnacentral:rRNA from 1 species